AUUGCAUAAACUAAACUUCAUCCUCAAAGAAGACAAAAGAUAACUACAUUUAUAUUUUACAAAAUUAAUUUACUGUACAUAGUAGUUCCAAGGCACUUGUGAUUUCAUCCACAACUGGAUCUUGCAACAUUUGCUAUUUGAUUGAAGAGACUAUUUAUAUAGCUUAUUAUCAUCAUAAUCCUCAGCAGUUUCUUCAGUUAUGGUCUCCAAACUUGGCAGAUUAGAAGGCUUCUUUGGGAAUAUUAUGGGUGCAGGUGCAACCUCCAUCCAAGAACUUAGAUUUCUGAUUCCCCUGGCCAUUGAUGAAUUUGAAAACAAUGAGUUUUGAUCACUUUCUCAAUAAUGAAUCUUUGAAUUCGAAUGACUUAAAUUCUCUCCUCCUCCUAUAUAUAUGUCUAGAAAGAAGAGAGACAAAUAUGGUUUCUCUAAAUUUGUUUGUAAAGGGGUUUUGGUUUAUGAUUUAUG
rnacentral:lncRNA from 1 species